rnacentral:tRNA from 1 species
GUGGGGUUGUGGCUCAGUGGUAGAGUGCUCGCCUAGCACGUGCGAGGUCCUGGGUUCAAUCCUCAGCACCACA